rnacentral:rRNA from 1 species
UACGUAGGCAGCAAGCGUUGUUCGGAGUUACUGGGCGUAAAGGGUGUGUAGGCGGUUGGUUAAGUUUGGUGUGAAAUCUCCCGGCUCAACUGGGAGGGUGCGCCGAAUACUGAAUGACUUGGAGUGCGGGAGAGGAAAGUGGAAUUCCUGGUGUAGCGGUGAAAUGCGUAGAUAUCAGGAGGAACACCGGUGGUGUAGACGGCUUUCUGGACCGUAACUGACGCUGAGACACGAAGGCGUGGGUAGCAAACAGG